rnacentral:lncRNA from 1 species
UUUCUUCUUUUUUUCCCCCCGUGUUUCCAGAUCUGGGUAAUGCCCAGUCAGGUAGGAAUGUGGCGAAGUGGCCUGGACCUUUGUCUUGCUCAUGCUAACUUGGACCACGUGGUUCUUGGACUACAGGCCACAGAGAGCUGUGAGAAACUGUACCAGGUCUUAGUCUGUGACCCCACACUCUUCCUGGUUCCUGGGGGCCCUAGAGGGCUCCCUCUUUCAGUGCUGGAGGGGCCAUGUGUCUCCUGCUUCCCAAGGCUCAGUUGUCAUCCCCUUGGGCACCAGAGGAACCCAUUGUGUUUGGAGAUGCUGGACUGGGUCGCCAUGGGAAGCCCAGCCGUGCUGUAUGGGUCUGGAAGCCUUUUGCGACUGUUAAGAGCCAGGAUAGCCAGAAUCCCGCGUUCGUUUUUAGAAUCUUGCUACACGUAUUUUUAAAAACGGGAGUUAUACUCAAUUCCCCUGUACUUUAGCCUGCGUCUGUGUGGGUCCUCAUUUAGAAAGAAAAAAAAAA